GGCAACUGUGAACGUUCCGCUCUUUCCUUUUCCUUUCUCUUCUUCUUCUUCUUCUUCUUCGAAUGAAGGCGAGGAAACGAACAGGUCUUUCAAUUUAUGGCCCACCAUAUCCUUGCUGCUCCUCUUCUUCUCGGUCAAAUCUGUAACAAGUAUCUUCGGUUGACUUGGAGGUUCGCGGCAGGCGGAGGAUCGGCGGCUGGAGCUCCGACUCAGAAGCAUCCUCAAGGUACUCUUCCGACGGCGGAGCUGCACCACCGGGCUUGUCCUUGGGCUUCUCGUAGGGCUCUGCGCCACGCCGCAUUGCGUUGCUAGCAGCUUGAACUUGUGCAACGUCGCCAUUUACAGGUUCCUCUGUCUUCUACCUCUCUGUUUCUCUCUUCGUUUUUUUUGUGUUUAAAGGAGAUAUAAGGGAGACUGAAUUUGAAUAAUUGAUGAACUGAUUUGGGUGUGAGGAGUUUUGCUUCAUAGAGAGAGAAAAGUAUCUAAAUUAGAUUUGAAAAUCUCUCUCUUCCUUUCCUUUAUCGUCUCAAAAGUGCAUUCUUUGAAUGGAACUUGACGAGCUGAGAAAAAGAGAGGAGGGAUUACAUUUUCCGAGAAAAUUCUGAAUUUUCAUAGACUGUAAGAAUACAUAAAGAUUGAAAUGUCUAUACUGACCUCUACUUUUCCAGAAGGAAAAGAAUUUUUGAAGAAAUUUUGUCUCCUAUGAACAAUCUAGCACCAACUUAUGGAAGGAGUAAUCCCACCAUCAGAUAUGUUUCAACUUUCUUGACUGCACAUGUAAUAUACACUUCAUGCCAAAAACUUAGCUUAACAUUGCCUCAUCACACAGCCAAAUACUGACUCUGACAAAAUAGACCAUGGCUACCGUAGCAUCUAUUUGUUUAUACGCCCAUUCUCGAGAAUGUUUUAUGGUUUUCUAGUACUGCAGUAUAUUUAUUACUGGAUUUCUGAUGUUGGUAUUUAUAAUCAUAUGCAUCAUGGUUAAACCGAUCAAAGAUAAGUUGUAGAUUCACCUUCAAUAUGAGGCCUUUAUGAUUUAAAGAAUAGAUUCCAGAUUGGGUUUUUAAGCUUGCCAGAGUUGCAAGUCAUAAGGAAUAAAUUCGCAGGAGAGAGUGGGAAGGAAAAGGGAAAUUGAGGAAUGGUUUUGAUAGCUUUGUUUUAUUCCCCACUAUCACUGUUCCGUGAGGCCAAGGUUACCUCUCUUCGGCCUUCGAUUCAAUAAGUAGUAGGUACCUUUUGUUUGUCAUCUUAUAACACAAUCAACUCAAGGCAUUGAAUGAAAUUCAAGCACUAGAUGUGUGUGUGUGUGUGUGUGUAGAUCAUCCAGAAGAAUGCAUCUUCCCUUGAAGAAUCUCAGUAACUUCCUAAGAUCAUCAAUGUGGUUGAGAAUCUUAUGUCAUGACCCGAGCAUAUGAUUCUGAUUUAAGAAAGUAUGUACUCUUUGAGAGAAAGAGAGGAAGGGUGAGAGAAGAAAAAGAACGAUUUGAGAAAGAUAGAAUAAGCAUAUCAAGAGGAAGAAAUAGAAAACUAGAGUAAAAAGAUAUUGAGAUAGAGAUAGAUAGAAUUUUGAUAGAGAUAAUGAUAAUAUAUUCAAAACGUUUCAUUAACUGAUUGAUUACGUAAAUGAAAAUAAGUGAUUUAUAGAUAAGGAAAAAAUGCACAAACAAGUUAAUAAACAAUUAAUCUUUCAUAGAAUCUCAACCGGUUGUAGAAGAAAUCCUUAAAUUUAUUGAAUGGAGAUGGAAGAGGAAGUGGUUGGUCAACUAAGGUUUGAGAGGACUAAAGACCCCUUGGGUUUGAAUUUCCUGUAGACAUUUCCGUAGUUCUCUUCGUGCACCUCUAUAGAUUUUGUACUUUCUAGUUUAUUUUUCUCUGUCUGUACUCGAAUCUUUACGUCUUAUCUAAAAGUAAACAGAAUAUGAGACUAUUGAAUUUUUUCUAGGAGAAAAAAACUUCACUAACUGAAGAAUUAACAAUUUAAAAUAUUUUUAAAUAGAUUUACAUUUAAAUUAAAUUUUUUAAAAAUAAUUGAUCAUAACGUAAAAGAUAAACAAAAACUAAAUUUUCUAAAAGAUAAACUCCUACUAAUUACAUAAUAUUUAAAAAAUAAAUAUGACUUAAAUCUAAUUAAAGAUUAAGUAUAUUUAAAUUUAAACUAAUAAAUAAAAUAAACUAUAAUUUUUACAUUAAUCUUCAACAGAGAUUAUAGGCAGGUAUAGUUCAGUAAAUAAAAAUACCACCUCAUAUAAACAGCGUCACCAUCAAAAAAAUGUCAAACAUACGAACAUUUGUUUAAGAAUGAAACCCCAUCAGCUAUAUACAUUUUUAAUGAUUCGCUGUUAAAAAGAUACUUUAUACAAAAAACCAUUGAUGGAAGCAAAACUUAUUUGUAUAUUAUGAUUGGUAAAAAAAUGAAUCCUCACCAUCUAUCGAUAAAAUGGAGGAGACUGGGGAAGAUAAAAGGAGGAAACAAAAAUCUUCAUCCACUGGUAUUCGGUGUAGUAUCUGUACUAAACCACUUCUCAGUCACAGAGUUCGGUGAAGAAGGGAACUUGAUCUUCAUUAGUAAUGCAACUUUAUCACUGUCAGGUGGUGACGGUGGGGCCUCUUUAUUCUUCAUCAACUGAGGUUCAUCCUGUCUUGUCUCUGCAUUCUCCAACUUGCAUUCCCCACUUUGGAUUUUCUUUAAUUCGUCCAGAACCUCUUCCAUGGUAGGUCUAAUUUCCGGAUCCUGCUGCAAACAUUUAAAUGCCAAUACUGCAACUAAAGUUGUCAUUCGUCUAACUUCUUCAUCAGAUUCAUACCCAAGAUUUGGGUCAAUCAACUCUUCAAAUUCACAGUUUUGUAUCUUGUUUACUGCUAAAUUAGAUAAGUUAACCUCAUUCCUAUUCCUAGUUAUGUCAACUGGAGGCAAGGAUGAUAUCAGCUCGACAAGAACAACUCCGAAGCUGUAGACGUCGCUUUUGUCAGUGAGCUGAUAGCAUUGGUGAUAUUGAGGGUCAACAUACCCAGGAGUUCCCUGUGGAGCAGUUGAUAUAUGAGUUACAUCACUUGGGAACAAUCGGGAAAGCCCAAAAUCUGCAACUUUGACAGUAAAGUUAUCAUCAAGGAGAAUGUUGGUAGUUUUCACAUCACGGUGUAUGAUAUCUGAUGCAUGGAGAUAGGUUAAUGCACUUGCAGUUUCUAUGGCAAUGUUCAUACGAGUAGGCCAUGUUAAUGAACUAGGAUUUGCUUGAUCACCAUGGAGAUGAUCAGCAACAGUGCCUUUAGAUAUGAACUCGUAUACAAGCAGGAGUUCCUGGCUGUGACGCGAAGUGCAACCAUAGAGGGAGACAAGAUUUUUAUGGUGCAGACAUGUCAAGAUUUCGACCUCAUUCAUGAACUGCUCACCCUUCUAUAGUUGUGCUCAUAUAGACGCUUGACUGCGACUUCCCUCCCAUCUCGAAGUUUGCCUGGUUAAAAAAUCCAUGCCAAAACUAAGUCAACAAGCUGUAAGGUUAUUCACAAUAACCUCUCCAUUUUGUUUCAUUUUCACUUUUCUCACUUAUUCCUUCAAAUUUUCUAAUGCCAUAUUGAGUUUCCAUCCAACAAAAUAGAUAUUCAAUUUUCUUACCAUGGUAUACGGUUCCAAAGCCUCCAUCUCCAAGUAACUUGUCAUUGGCAAAAUUGUUAGUGGCUUCUUCAAGUUCACUGUAAGAAAAGAUGGGAACUCCAAAAUACACUCUGCCUGCUUCCAGAUCUAAUUUUUUGGAGUGAUAAGAAGUACUCCUUGAGAAUAACUGUGAUGACAGAGAUUUUAUUUUACGGUAUCGCGGAAGCAUGAAGACGGCAAAUAAGACAAUUACAACGAAGAAGACUGCUGCAGUACCUGAAGCAGAAAUGCCUGAAUGAUCAGCUUUAAUUGUUUGACAACCGUAUAUGAGAAGAUAUUAAUGAUUUGAGAUUUCUGUUUAGGUUUGUAAAGAAACACAUGAAAUAGGGAAAAUUAAGACAGAAUUACAUGUUGCUAUCUUCCAUCCGUAGUCAUGCCCUGCAAUUUAUGUCAAAAGAGAACUCGUUCAGUUCAAACAGAAAAGACAGAUACUGAUGCAGAAAAUUUGGCUUGCUGGGAAUUUUAAUUAACAGGAAAGCAAUGCACAAACAAUAUUGAAUACUUUAUUGAGUUAUUACCGGAUAGAGUUACACGGCAAUGCACUAAAUUCAUCAACCAUAAACAACUACUGCAGAUCACUACCAAUGACUCGGUAGAAGAAGGUCUAACAAAUGUUAGAGAAAGUAAGCCUUUGGUUAAGCAAACUUAUGAGGGAUUUUGGAACACAGAACGGGAAGACAUACAAAUGCAUACAGAGCUAUAGAUUUACUCUUUCAUCAUACCCUUCAUAUUAUGUCUCCGGCUUCCUGCACAUUCAUAGUCUCCUUGUCUGUUUAUUUGACAUUGGCCUCCUGAGAAAUGACAUCCAUAACAAUGGGGAGGUAUUUUCACAUCAACAAAGAACGUGGCAUUCAAACAUUUAGACAAAGAUCCACAUUUUCUUAGCUCCUCAUUCACCGGGAGCAAAAUACCUGAACACUGAGAUGAGAAACUCUGUGUACUAUUGUUUUGUACAUCUCCAUAAUAGAUCCUGUGAUCUUUGCAGGUUGCAUAAUUGAAACCUUCCGGGAAUUCUGCAUGCUGAGUGCGAUUGCACACGAAGAGACUUAGAGACUUAUUGACUGCAAAGGAGAACCAAGGAGAACUUGGAAGAGUGAGGUAGUUGUCGAAAAUAUUGCAGUAAUUUUUGGAGUUUAUGUGAUCACGGAGCACAGUAUCAGUCAGAAUAAGGUCAUCAGCCUGAGAUACCCUUUUGACUUCAUACCAUCGUCCUCCCUCCACUAGUUGUAUCGUCUGAACUGACCCACUACAGUUUAACCUAUCGGCCACAAGUGGAGUU
rnacentral:lncRNA from 1 species